CAAAAAUUAUCAUACAAGUUUCUCUUUGUAUCCAUAUUUAAAACAUGAUGGAGAAGAAUUGAGCCUUUAUACGAGGGGCAGCUUGUGUGUUUAUCCAGCAGCUCCAGCACCAGGAAACAAGAGAAAGCCCCCAUUGGUAGUGGUGGAAGCAGGAAAAGGUUGGAGACUGCGAGGCUGGCGAGAGGAGAGGUGAAUGGAGACGGGGAGAGAGAGAGAGAAGGAGAAAGAAACUCUUUGAGUGACAGUAAUUUGGGAACCUGGACUUUUUAUGACUUUCCUCCUUUUGGGAAAACACACAGACUUCGGGGUAUAGCACUUGGGACCAUAUCAAAGACAUCUUUUACCAUCAGAAGCAGGACUGCUGCCGCGUGUGUUGUCUUCCAAAGCGCAGGCUACAUCCCAGAGGCGUCCCCGACAAUAAUCCUCAAAGAGAAUUGCUGAUGAAUAGAGUGACAAACCGUGGCUGUGGAAACGGAGUGAGGCAACGGUCUGUGAUGAUCUUGGCGGCUGGUGAGGAUUUGGCAUGCAGACCAAGGGCUACAGCAGCAGCACCACAUGCGGCCUUUUCCCUCAGGAUAAUAACUGCCUGUGGAGGAGAGAGGGAGAAAACCUGCAAGGAUCAGCCUUCCUGUUCACACCCCAUCAUCCAUGAGCUGGCAGGAUCCUUGUGUUGUUAUGGUCAUGAGACAUUUCCUGUGUGUGUUUUGGGGUUGCAUCUGGGCUUGUUUACAGCCUAUGCUAGAGCCUCAUUAAGUGGAACAUGGUACUAGGCGGAUGUGGCGGAGGGGGGCUCAAGUGCCUAUUAGUGGGGCCAGUCUGUAGCCCCAAACCAGAACCCAACUGGGCCAGGUGCUUCAGCCGGGUUUCCAAAAUACAGCCAAACAUGGCGAAGGAAAGCUUACUCAUUAGGAAAGUGUGCAAUUAAUUAAAAAACCCAGAUGUAUCAUCCACGGAGGCCUCAGAUGCAGAAUUAAAUAAUGCUGGUGAUAUUCUGUGUUUCAUUUCUUAACACAUGCUUAACACACUCCACACCAUCAGACUACUAAUUCAAAAUUUCUGAUCAUAAUAUUUAAGCUUUUGGGGAUUUUUUAAAGAAUAAAUGAUUUGUGUGUAUUUGUUGAGCACUAAUUCCAGCUGCGUAUAUUAAUACAUAACACCACAUUUAUCGUAAUGAACUGGGAAACAAGCAACUCCUUGGUAGUGGGAUUUUUUUGAAGUUCAAAAGUUCAAAGGAGGACCCGAAAAUAAAGGUGCAAAGUGUGCACGACGCCAGGCUGCAAAAACAAAGAGUGAGGCCUAAUUUAAGAAAAAAGACUCACAGCAAUCCAGCCCAGUUCAGUAAAAGGUCAACCAAAGCAGAAAAAACAGGUAGAAAAAUCUCGAGUCAAGGCAUCAGCUGAACCACAGGGGGACUGGCAAUCUCAAAACAACAGCCAGGCAGAGCUUUAAACUGCCUAUGUUACAGAAAAAUGUGAUUAUAAUGCAUUACUUUUUACUGUGUUACAGCCAGCGCGAGUAAAGCUGUGUGUGGACAACUUAGGACAAACUUUUCUUUUGUUUCUUUAAAUUACUUACAGAUUAUAUUCAGGUUGCAGUUAUAUGAUGAUGACUUAGAGUGCAAUUGCUUGAAUUUAAGGAGCUGAACAAAACAAUCUAUUUUAAUACAGUCCCAUUUGCAGAGAGUCAAGUGAAAACUGGCUGCCCGAAGUCUGAAACCUAUGGAUCUCAAUAACUUUUCUUCUUUGUGAUGCUUUGCCAGGUCUUUCCUUCUGCUGUCUUCAAGUGCAAUUCAGCUAAGUUAUGUUGUGAUAAAUCUGAUUGGGCAAUUGCAGAAUGUUCCUCCUUCUUUACCUAAAGCCUAAAACCCUCAGGUUUCUUCCUGAGUAUCUUUUGGGUUAGUGUUUAUCUGCACUUUGAAGCACAGUCCAAUCAACUUUCCCUCAUUUGGUGGAAUCCGAGCUGGAAGUAAAGCUCCGUACACAUCGCAGCUCAUCAUUUCUGUCUUCUGUCAAAUCACUAAUAAACACGAGUGACCCAGCGCCACUGGAAGCUAUGCAUGUCCAUACAUCACACUGGCUCCAGUCUGUUUUACAGAGGACGUGUCAUUCUCUUUAAGAUAUCCAAAGAAUGCAGUUCCAGCGCCGGUCUGCUGUUUUAGAUGUUUUUGCAAAGCCUAAUCUGUUUUUUUCUGUUCUUGCAGCUGAUGGCUGGUUUUUCUUGUUUUCCCUUUAAAACACCCUGCCACAUAGUGAGCGCAUUCUUCACUUGAUUUUAUGUGUUAUAUAUCUGAAGAGGUCUUUGCUAUGGAAAGGAUCCCAUGAUCAUCCACCACUCCUAUCUUCAGUCAACAUCCAGGCCUUUUUGUGUUGUUGUGUUUUUUUUUUCCAUCCUUUUUGCAGCCCCAGGACUUCUCUUCUAAAAGAGCUUCUUCUACUACAAGUUGGGUUGAGAGAGUUUCCAAAUUCAAAUGUUACACUUCUAAUCACAUGCUGACAUUUUAACUGCUUAACUAACUGAUGAAAAGGCCACACUUGUACAUAUUUUAAGUCCAGUUAUAUUUAAGCCCGGGUGUCAAACUUAUUUUACAUCAAGUGUCAGUGUAAAGAUGUUUAACUACACAUUUAAUCCCUGAGAUAUCUUAAUAAAUAAAAUGAAGAGGUACAAUUACACCAUCACAUUUCAAUUAUUCUACAUGAUAAAAGUGUACAAUUACAGAAAAGGUUCUGGUAGCUCACUGCCCGGACUGUUUCGUAUUUCUAAAACUUGAACUUUUAACCAAAAUUUCUAUAUUAGCCAAUUAAAAGCAUGAUUUUUUUUUGUCAUGUCAUUUUUUUAAAUAUUAUUUAACUACUUUGGUGUAGUAUAAAUGCCUGUGAGGGAGGUCUUUAUCAGCAGGAAAAGCAGCUGUAAAACUUCAAAAAGUUCAAAACUUUAUUCCUGCCGUCAUGUUUUCCCAAAACUGUCCAGUGGUCCGGAUUGGAGUCUUUUCUGGGCCAAUUCUGGCCCCAGGGCCUUAUGUUUGACACCUCUGCCCUGGACGGUGACUCAGUCUAAAACCUUGUGCGAGUGUAUGAUGUAAAUGUAGACACAGGCAGGUGAUCCAGCUGGCGGGAACAAGACAAAUGCACAAAGUAAAACUAAACAUGAAACACAAGGUAAAAACAAAACAAUUCCGGGUUUUAGAAAUUCAGUACUGAUUUUGUGUCUUUUCUUGGAAUUAGUCUAAUGGGAAUCGCCCUUCAUGGCUGCUAAAUGAGUCUCUUUGAUUAGCAUGAGCAUACUGAGGCGUUCUUGAUACCUCCUUUCUUUCUGUGCAUAUCCAAGUAGCCAUCUUAUUAAUGUGCGCACAACUAUGAGACCCUCAGAGCGGCAGCUUCAUGAAUUCCUGCUACGUUCCAGUGUGAAGCGUCUUGCACAGACAGAGGACAAAGCAGAGAGGGAUUAACAUCUCCCGCCUUUCGGCACAUGCACACUCGCGCUGUGUAACGCUUAACAUAAUCAAACACUCACCCAGUGUGACACACAACACAACCAAACACUCUUCUGGGGCUACACUACUAAAACAAACCCGCGCUAGAACCCCAGGGGCCAAGGAGAGAGGUGGAGGAGCUGAGGAGGCGGAUAUGAGGGAGGCCAAGCACUCCUGGUGUUUAUGCUGAGCAGCCAGCGACUGGGAAACGCUCGGAACACGAUCCUCAUGUUUUCCUUACCCCAGCUAAUCCGACAAAACGACAGAGGGAGCAGAUUCCGUUACAGAGAAAGCUGCCACUUAGAUAUUUAUCCUCGCUAAGGCAAACAUCUGGCCCCGGUGGGCUUUUUUCAUAGGGCGAUAUGAGUGGGUGUGAUACUCUGCUACAUUUAUUAGGGUGUGAAGCUCUAAUUAAAAGUGAAAGCGAUGCCCGCCGGCCAACCACGACAGUUUUCUCUAUCCCCCCCCCCCAAGGUUCAUCUGCAGGUAGGAUGAAGCGAGAAGAGCGUUACGGCCUGUUGAAUAAAACACAAGCAGAUGUCAGAAAAAUGAGAAUGCAAACAAAUACAAACAAAUACAAAGACAGGGAGAAAGGGCAGAGGCAGAGAGGAGAUGUAGGGGAUUUAUCUGCUAAGGAGGUGCUCAGGGUGUGAAAUUUCCUCUCUUGCUGUUUGUUUUCACUUGCAGUCAGAUGGAACAGCCUGAGUUACAGACAAAGUGCCCACUGCCCUUACACACCGAGACGGGCGUAUUGCUUACAGGGAAAUCUGCUUACUCUCCUGGGUCUGCUUUUCCAGAAGCACCCUUGCAUGCAAGAUCGCUUCUGUCAACCGGCUAACGGGGGAACAAGAACCAUUCUUAUCCAGACUGAGGACGAAAACUGCAGGGCAAUUCCCAGCAUUCAUAUAUUAUAUAUAUAUAUAUAUAUAUUUUAUUUUAUUUUUUUGCAGUUUUAUGCUUUGAAGGGACAUCUUCAUCAC
rnacentral:lncRNA from 1 species